GACGAACGCUGGCGGCGUGCUUAACACAUGCAAGUCGAACGGUAAGGCCCUGCUUUUGUGGGGUGCUCGAGUGGCGAACGGGUGAGUAACAUGUGAGUAACCUGCCCUCGACUUUGGGAUAUCUUCAGGAAACUGGGGCUAAUACAGUAUAGGCGCCCUGGCUGCGUGGGGGGGGGUGGAGAGAUUUUGCGGUUGGGGAUGGACUCGCGGCCUAUCAGCUUGUUGGUGGGGUAGUGGCUUACCAAGGCAAUGACGGGUAGCCGGCCUGAGAGGGUGACCGGCCACAUUGGGACUGAGAUACGGCCCAGACUCCUACGGGAGGCAGCAGUGGGGAAUAUUGCACAAUGGGCGGAAGCCUGAUGCAGCAACGCCGCGUGAGGGAUGACGGCCUUCGGGUUGUAAACCGCUUUCACCUGGGAAGAAGCGAGAGUGACGGUAAUGGGAGAAGAAGCGCCGGCUAACUACGUG
rnacentral:rRNA from 1 species